UACGUAGGGCGCAAGCGUUAUCCGGAAUUAUUGGGCGUAAAGAGCUCGUAGGCGGUUUGUCGCGUCUGCUGUGAAAGACCGGGGCUCAACUCCGGUUCUGCAGUGGGUACGGGCAGACUAGAGUGAUGUAGGGGAGACUGGAAUUCCUGGUGUAGCGGUGAAAUGCGCAGAUAUCAGGAGGAACACCGAUGGCGAAGGCAGGUCUCUGGGCAUUAACUGACGCUGAGGAGCGAAAGCAUGGGGAGCGAACAGG
rnacentral:rRNA from 1 species